rnacentral:rRNA from 1 species
UACGUAGGGUGCGAGCGUUGUCCGGAAUUACUGGGCGUAAAGAGCUCGUAGGUGGUUUGUCGCGUUGUUCGUGAAAACUCACAGCUCAACUGUGGGCGUGCGGGCGAUACGGGCAGACUGGAGUACUGCAGGGGGAGACUGGAAUUCCUGGUGUAGCGGUGGAAUGCGCAGAUAUCAGGAGGAACACCGGGUGGCGAAGGCGGGGUCUCUGGGCAGUAACUGACGCUGAGGAGCGAAAGCGUGGGGAGCGAACAGG